CUGCAAGUCCAGGGACUUUUUGUGAAGGAUCAGGCACCAUUUCUUCUUUAACGAUGUGAGAACUUCGGGCCUUCCCUUCAUCUUCAGAUCUUCACUUGGCUCAGCCUCCUACAGGAAAGAGAGAUGCGCUCACUUUCAGUCUAGGUUUCCUAAGUUCUUCAGAGGAACUACGACCACCAUAGCCAUCAAGACACACUGCAGCCACCCACUCCCUCGCCGAUGAGCAUCUCGGGUCUGCUGCCGGGAGGUGAACGCCUGGCACCGAAAAAACCAGGGCACUGUGAGUCGGGUCAUAGUAGCGCUGGUUUGCUAGAGGCAGAGGAGAAUACCGACAGUAUCAAAUUCAAUUUCUUUGCUUAAAUUUGGAUUCUGUUUCCCUAAGCAAUGUGCAUAUUGUUAAAGCAAAAGAGGAUGGAAAGAAAACACAGAGAAAAUAUGCCGAAUGGAAACGUUUUGGGGGAAAUCUCUUUACUGAAAACUGUAAGUGGUCGUGGCAUACUAGAC